GACGAACGCUGGCGGCGUGCUUAACACAUGCAAGUCGAACGGAAAGGCCCUGCUUUUGUGGGGUGCUCGAGUGGCGAACGGGUGAGUAACACGUGAGUAACCUGCCCUUGACCUUGGGAUAACUUCAGGAAACUGGGGCUAAUACCGGAUAGGAGCUCCUGCUGCAUGGUGGGGGUUGGAAAGUUUCGGCGGUUGGGGAUGGACUCGCGGCUUAUCAGCUUGUUGGUGGGGUAGUGGCUUUCCAAGGCUUUGACGGGUAGCCGGCCUGGGAGGGUGACCGGCCACAUUGGGACUGAGAUACGGCCCAGACUCCUACGGGAGGCAGCAGUGGGGAAUAUUGCACAAUGGGCGGAAGCCUGAUGCAGCAACGCCGCGUGCGGGAUGACGGCCUUCGGGUUGUAAACCGCUUUCGCCUGUGACGAAGCGUGAGUGACGGUAAUGGGUAAAGAAGCACCGGCUAACUACGUG
rnacentral:rRNA from 1 species